GGAAUACGCAGGGGUAUCAUAUAAAUGUGUAUCGUUGGAUUUUACUGGAACUUGGGAAGUACACUACUUCCAAAAAUUAAUGGAAGAUUAUUAAAUAACAAUUAGAGAAUGACAGUAUAUUUGUUAACAAUUUUAGCAAAUUUCAAUUCCAAGACAGUUACGACAUGGCAGAUUAUACCGUAGUUAUGGCAUAGCAAUUUGACAUGGUAGAAUUUUCCGCGUACUCGAAUAAAUUUGAAAAUUAUGAUGAUAGAGUUUUCAUGAAAGAAGCUCGCUUGCAGGUAAAGAGGAGGUUAAAUAUCGAUUCUCUUCUUUGCUCGUACAAGUUUGAGAAUUGCGAAGUUCAGACUUAUGACUGUCUUUAUAUAUAGCCUGGUCUGGAACUUUGAAAAGAACUAAAACUAUAGGUGAAUGUAGAAGACCGUAUUUAGAAACGCGUUGUUUAGGCAGAAUCUUUUCAGUGUGUGAAUGAUGAUGAAGUGCAUCAUAUAUUAAUUCUCAUCAAAAAAGCUUGCUCAAUGGCAGUUACAGUAGAGUCCAGACGGUGUCUAAAUCAUGUCAAUUAUAUUACCGGUAGAAGAGAGUUG